AUUGUACAAGUGAAGAGUAAAGCUUCUGCUGCUGAUGGAGAUAUUCAGGAAAAACAAUUGUGACCACCUACGCCUCCAUUAGUUAAUUCAGCUGGAAAUGGAAAUGGAAAUGGCAGUGGUAAAUGAAGAGAUAAAGCUGCAAAUGGAAAUGGAAAUGGCAGCGGUAAAUGAAUACAUGAAGCUGCAGGCAGUGGUAAUACGCACUUCAUUUCUACAAAAAUGAAUCUGCUUAAUUGUCCUGAUGUCCACACAUUGCAUCCCAUGCCUUCUGCUGCUGCUUCUGCUCAUGUGAAUACAUAUGUUUCCAACUUACAAAA